GACGAACGCUGGCGGCGUGCCUAAUACAUGCAAGUCGAACGAGAAUUUUUUACACCGAGUGCUUGCACUUACCGUAAGAAAUUCGAGUGGCGGACGGGUGAGUAACACGUGGGUAACCUGCCCAAAAGAAGGGGAUAACAUUUGGAAACAAAUGCUAAUACCGUAUAACCAUGAUGACCGCAUGGUCAUUAUGUAAAAGGUGGUUUUGCUAUCGCUUUUGGAUGGACCCGCGGCGUAUUAACUAGUUGGUAGGGUAACGGCCUACCAAGGUGAUGAUACGUAGCCGAGUUGAGAGACUGAUCGGCCACAAUGGGACUGAGACACGGCCCAUACUCCUACGGGAGGCAGCAGUAGGGAAUCUUCCACAAUGGGCGCAAGCCUGAUGGAGCAACGCCGCGUGAAUGAAGAAGGUCUUCGGAUCGUAAAAUUCUGUUGUUAGAGAAGAAUAUGAGUAAUAGUAACUGAUUAUUCACUGACGGUAUCUAACCAGCAAGUCACGGCUAACUACGUGCCAGCAGCCGCGGUAAUACGUAGGUGGCAAGCGUUGUCCGGAUUUAUUGGGCGUAAAGGGAACGCAGGCGGUUUUUUAAGUCUGAUGUGAAAGCCUUCGGCUUAACCGGAGAUGUGCAUUGGAAACUGGAAGACUUGAGUGCAGAAGAGGAGAGUGGAACUCCAUGUGUAGCGGUGAAAUGCGUAGAUAUAUGGAAGAACACCAGUGGCAAAAGCGGCUCUCUGGCUUGUAACUGACGCUGAGGUUCGAAAGCAUGGGUAGCGAACAGGAUUAGAUACCCUGGUAGUCCAUGCCGUAAACGAUGAAUGCUAGGUGUUGGAGGGUUUCCGCCCUUCAGUGCCGCAGCUAACGCAAUAAGCAUUCCGCCUGGGGAGUACGACCGCAAGGUUG
rnacentral:rRNA from 1 species